rnacentral:rRNA from 1 species
CAAAGGCUUCGGCCGGUAAAGGAUGGGGAUGCGUCUGAUUAGCUUGCCGGCGGGGUAACGGCCCACCGGGGCGACGAUCAGUAGGGGUUCUGAGAGGAAGGUCCCCCACAUUGGAACUGAGACACGGUCCAAACUCCUACGGGAGGCAGCAGUGAGGAAUAUUGGUCAAUGGGCGCGAGCCUGAACCAGCCAAGUAGCGUGCAGGACGACGGCCCUAUGGGUUGUAAACUGCUUUUAUACGGGGAUAAAGUAUGCCACGUGUGGUUUAUUGCAGGUACCGUAUGAAUAAGGACCGGCUAAUUCCGUGCCAGCAGCCGCGGUAAUACGGAAGGUCCGGGCGUUAUCCGGAUUUAUUGGGUUUAAAGGGAGCGUAGGCCGGGUUUUAAGCGUGCCGUGAAAUGUCGGGGCUCAACCUUGACACUGCGGCGCGAACUGGAGUCCUUGAGUGCGCGGAACGUAUGCGGAAUUCGUGGUGUAGCGGUGAAAUGCUUAGAUAUCACGAAGAACCCCGAUUGCGAAGGCAGCAUACGGCAGCGCUAUUGACGCUGAAGCUCGAAGGCGCGGGUAUCGAACAGGAUUAGAUACCCUGGUAGUCCGCGCGGUAAACGAUGGAUGCCCGCUGUUGGCGAUAUAUUGUCA